rnacentral:rRNA from 1 species
CCUACGGGAGGCAGCAGUGGGGAAUUUUCCGCAAUGGGCGAAAGCCUGACGGAGCAAUGCCGCGUGGAGGUAGAAGGCCCACGGGUCGUGAACUUCUUUUCUCGGAGAAGAAACAAUGACGGUCUCAGAGGNAANNCCUCNGUUUUU